CUUGAGUGGAUCCUGAGUACGACGGAGCACGUGAAAUUCCGUCGGAAUCUGGGAGGACCAUCUCCUAAGGCUAAAUACUCUCUAGUGACCGAUAGUGAACCAGUACCGUGAGGGAAAGGUGAAAAGCACCCCGGAAGGGGAGUGAAAUAGAACCUGAAACCGUGUGCUUACAAGUAGUCAGAGCCCGUUAAUGGGUGAUGGCGUGCCUUUUGUAGAAUGAACCGGCGAGUUACGAUUUGAUGCAAGGUUAAGCAGUAAAUGUGGAGCCGUAGCGAAAGCGAGUCUGAAUAGGGCGUUUAGUAUUUGGUCGUAGACCCGAAACCAGGUGAUCUACCCUUGGUCAGGUUGAAGUUCAGGUAACACUGAAUGGAGGACCGAACCGACUUACGUUGAAAAGUGAGCGGAUGAACUGAGGGUAGCGGAGAAAUUCCAAUCGAACCUGGAGAUAGCUGGUUCUCUCCGAAAUAGCUUUAGGGCUAGCCUCAAGUGAUGAUUAUUGGAGGUAGAGCACUGUUUGGACGAGGGGCCCCUCUCGGGUUACCGAAUUCAGACAAACUCCGAAUGCCAAUUAAUUUAACUUGGGAGUCAGAACAUGGGUGAUAAGGUCCGUGUUCGAAAGGGAAACAGCCCAGACCACCAGCUAAGGUCCCAAAAUAUAUGUUAAGUGGAAAAGGAUGUGGCGUUGCCCAGACAACUAGGAUGUUGGCUUAGAAGCAGCCAUCAUUUAAAGAGUGCGUAAUAGCUCACUAGUCGAGUGACACUGCGCCGAAAAUGUACCGGGGCUAAACAUAUUACCGAAGCUGUGGAUUGUCCUUUGGACAAUGGUAGGAGAGCGUUCUAAGGGCGUUGAAGCAUGAUCGUAAGGACAUGUGGAGCGCUUAGAAGUGAGAAUGCCGGUGUGAGUAGCGAAAGACGGGUGAGAAUCCCGUCCACCGAUUGACUAAGGUUUCCAGAGGAAGGCUCGUCCGCUCUGGGUUAGUCGGGUCCUAAGCUGAGGCCGACAGGCGUAGGCGAUGGAUAACAGGUUGAUAUUCCUGUACCACCUAUA
rnacentral:rRNA from 1 species